rnacentral:pre_miRNA from 1 species
AAGCUCUCGUUGGAGAAGCAGGGCACGUGCAUAUUCUAUAGUUAAUAGUAGCAACACACGACAAUCUUGUUAUUCGUGUGUGGAAUUUGCACCUGCCCCCCUUCUCCAACAUGCGCUC